ACAGGACAGGACAGUGGGAG
rnacentral:miRNA from 1 species